CUGGAAUCCAGAAAAGACAUUAAACUUCCUUUUAGAAGAGGUAAUUGAAAAGAAAAAGGCAAUAAAGCUCCAUGUUUUUGUACAGAUUGCUAAUCAUAUUUCAAACCAGAACCACCUGCUGAAGACCUGCAGAAACAAAAGUGGAAGGAUUCUUAAUGUCCUAAUUCGAGAGGAGGUUACAGCACAAUAUUAUUAAGAUCAAACCGCCUCAUGCUUGAAAUCAAGAACAAACCACUUUUCUUUGACAAAAAGGGGAAACUCUUGCAGCCCAGCACUGACGAAUCUUGAUGUUCUCAGCUGUCAAACAGACCUGACACUGGCCCAGAGUGAAACAGUGUCAGCAACCACUGCUUUUCCAGCAGCAGCUGUGAGCCUGCCCACUGCUUGAUGUGUAAUGCAUUUGUCAUACAGCCUGGGCUGAAAGAAGUCAAACAGAGUAAAAAUCUAUUGUCUGAAGCUUCAAGCAGAAGGGAGGUGACUACUUAACUUCUCUCCUGAUGCUGAUGUGAACACAGCAUGUACUGUUCAUAGGUGGUGACUGAUAAGAGGAUCUGUGGUGGAGCUCCUUACUUGAGGUCAAACUCAGAAAUUGAGCAGCCUGGCUUGCCCGACACAGAGCUUGGUAGUAAAGCUUCCUCUGCUGAGGUUCCUGCCAAGAGUGGACAGGAGAAAAACCUUCCCAGAGGGAUUGCAAGUAGGCUGGUGAGGAGAGGGUGCUGCCUCUGCUGGGCUGGUAUGGGCUGCUUUGGGGUGGCUUUCUACUGCAGCACAGAUGGUGGUGAUAGGCAGCCUUGUGUUCUUUGCUCUGGAAUGUGUGGCUUCUCCUCCUUCCUGGCACUUUAGCUGCCCUCAGUUUGACAAAGGCUGGUAAUUUUUAUUUCCCAGUUAUACCAAGGAACAACAUUAUCUAGGAAAGCAAAUAAGACUGUUUAGUGUUUCACUAUAACAUCUUUUCCCUCAAAGUUGGGCAAAACCGUCUAAAUACAAUGAGGAUUUUAUAUAAAUACAUUUAUAUAGGUAUGCAUAAAUAAAGUAAUACAUAUUUAGUACAUAUAUAGAAAAUCACUUCAACACAGGCCUCUUCCACUUAGAUCACAAGUUUCUGACACCUGAAAAGAACAAGCAGGCAUUACAUGGGGCCAUGAAACACAAGCAACCCUCUUAGCAUGGGGACUUCCUUGCAAGGAGGAGAUCACUGCGGUGAGCUCUCAUUGCUAGGCUCUCCUGGACUCCAGUGCCCCAUGGGUGACAGGCUCCCAUCUAGGCCACUGCAAUGGGCACAUCUGUGCUUCUGCUUCCCAAGGCCUGAAAAGCAGGCAUGGACCAUGAUAUCCAGAGUUGUGGUCAACAGCUCAUUUCUACAUGGAGACCAGUGACAAGUGGUGUACUUUGGGUCAGUACUGGAGCCAGAAAUGUCCAACAUCUUUGCUGGUGGCAUGGACAGCAGGAUCAAGUGUGUCCUCAGGAAGUUUGCUGAAGACAUCAUGCUCUGUGGUGCAGUCACCACGUUGAGACAAGGGAUGCCAUCCAGAGGGACCUGGACAUGCUUCAGAGAUGGGCCCAUGAAAACCUCAUGAGGUUCAACAAAGAGACAUGCAGGUUCCUACCUGGUGUCCCUGGUGUAAUCACAGACACACCUACAGGUGGGCAGAGAAGUGAUUGAGAGCAGCCCUAAGCAGAAAGGCUUGGUGAUGGUUGAUGAAAAAUCCAAUAUGAGCCAGCAGUGUGCUCACAGCCCAGAAAGUCAGCCACGUCCUGGGCUGCAUCAAAAGCAGUAUGGCUACAAGGAGAUGAUUCUGCCCCUCUGCUCUGCUCUUGUGAGACCCCACCUGGAGUAAUGCACACAGUUCUGCUGCCACCAACAGAAGGACAUGGAGCAAAUCCAGAGGAGGGCCAUAAAGUUGAUAAGAGGUCUGGAGCAUGUCGAAUGACAGGCUGGGAAAGAAUCACAAAAUAUUCUGAAUUAAAAAGGACUCACAUGGACCUUUGAGUCAAACUCCCAAGUGCAUUGCCUGAACAGGGUUUAAACCCCCAGUCUUGACACUGUUAGUGCCAUGCUCUAACCAGCUGAGCUAAUCUCAGGGUUGGGGCUGUUCAGCCUGGAGAAGGUUGUGUGGAGAUCUCACAGCAGCCUUCUAGUGUCUGAAGGGGGCCUACAGGGGAGCCAGAGAGGGGCUCUUCCUCAGGAAUUCUAGUGAAAGGACAAGGAAUAAUGGCUGCAAGCUGAAAUGGGGGAAAUUUAGCUUAGCUAUUAGGAAGAAAUUCUUUACUGUGAGGGUGGUUAGACACUGGAACAGGUUGUCCAGGGAGGUUGUGGAUGCAGUGGUCACAGCCAGAUUGGAUGGGGCCUUGAGCAGCCUGGUCUAGGGAGGUGCUCCUGCCCACGGAAGGGGGGUUGGGACUAGAUAAUCUCUAAGGGCCAUUCUAACCCCUAAAUAUUCUGUGAUUCUGUGAUUCAGCACAGCCAGAGAACAGGCAAAUGAAGCCCAAGGAUACCCUAGAAAAGAGAGAAGAUCCAGAUUCACAAAGUAAGUAGCCUUUUAUGCUCUGGGUAUGUCAGGUUAACCUUCGAAUGUAAAUUCACUAAUUAAUUAAUUGAUAUUUCUUAAUAAAACAACAUCCAAGUAUAUUAUGGUAUGCCAAAUAAAUGUAUCACACUAGUGCCUCUAGCUAUUGGAGCA